GGAGGGGAGCCUAGGCCCGGCGUGGGGAGGCCGGCAGGAAGGGCCUCGAGCCCAGUGCGGACCUUUCUUCAGCCUCUGUGCGACCGAGCCGCGCGCCAGGCUCCUGUGCGAGGAGGACGCGCUGACUCCCUCCGACCUGGGCUCCGAUGGAGCAGAAAUAGCGGGACCUGGACUUGUGGCGCGCCUGGUGCCACAUCUCGGGCUCUGCGAGCGUCCUGGCGCGGGAUCCUGCCGUUUGCAUCCAAGAGAGGGGAGGACAGGGGCAAAAGGAUGCAGGGAGGCUGCUGAUUUCCACUGAAGAGCUAAUUUCCUGUGAGACAUUAACAGUGAUUUAAGAAAAAGAUUCCUGUAACUGUAAUGUCUUACAAUAACAGAAUGCAGGAGAGCACAUAUCAAUGAAGAAAAGACAAAAUGUACUUAUCCAUGAAGCUGAGGUUAAGAAACCAGUGUCUUCAAGAGCCAGGGACAGCACUGGGUCUGUGCAGAGUUGAGAGAUGGUGAUGACAUGCCUACAGCACAGCUGAUGAAAGAGAAGACAUCUUGCUGCUAUUUGACAAGCAAGAAGAUAAAAGCUUUCCUAUAAAGAUGAUGGAGCAAAAAAAUAGAAGGGGCCUAGACUCCCUACCUUCACACUUCCUGCUAUAAAAGCAUUGCUAUUAUAAGGUUAAUCUGCAGAAACAGACUUCUAUGUCAUAUGCUUAAAUGCAUCAAAAUUCAUACAAUAUCCAUUAAAUUGGUAAAAGUAUCCAUUUUAAAGGAUUAAUCUGAGGGACCCACAGACACUUAACACAAUCAAAUCUCAGAAAAAAAAUCAGUUAUUUCAUUGUGAUUUUGAGGCUGAUCUUUUAUGAUCUUUUAGUUAUCAAACUGUUAAAUACAUUUUAACUUUCAAAUUUUAUGAAUAAAGGAGAUGAAUCCUG
rnacentral:lncRNA from 1 species